CUCGAUUGCUUUCCGCCCUCCCACUCUCCCCCGUCUCUCUCUCGCUCUCUCUCUCUCUCUCUCUCUCUCUCUCUCUCUCUCUCUCUCUCUCUCUCUCUCUCUCUCUCUCUCUCUCUCUCUCUCUCUCUCUCUCUUUUCCCUCUUGGUCUCCAUCUCCCACCCUCCCUCUCUCAAGUGCAUAUACAGUUCCUUGCCAUGUUGGACGUGUGAUGAAAAAGUGGCUGGCUCUCGUGCUCCGCCGCACCUCCUAUUUCAUCAUCAGUCGAGCUUUUCUCUCCUUCACUCUGCGCUUGCUGCCUCGUCUCUUCUAUCGCUCGCUCCCCUGUUCUCAGCUCCAGCCGCACGCAGGGGGGGGAGACUCGAGCUCUGUGGGGAGAAAAAAAGAACAAAGGUUUGCUGCUAUUUCUACAGUCAGGGCCUCCCCACAGCCCGCCCUUCCAUAGAGGAGAUUUUUUUAUUUUUUUUACUACUUGCUGGAUUUUAACCCUCUGCCUCCAAAUAUCUACACAACAGCUCUGCAAAAACCUGGCAACAAGUAGCUUUUUUGGGGCCUUUCCGUAGUUUUGUGCGGCAAUUUUUGCAUCACUUUGGACCUUGGUGGUAUUUCUUCUUUUUGGGUGUUAUUUUUUUCAUCUGCAUUGAUACCCAGAGUUUUAUAUUUGUCUUUGAAAGAGUUUUGGCGGUGUUUAUUUUCGAUGCCUUCUUUUUUUUGUCGCCGUUUGGUCGUGUUUGUAAUCUCGCCACGUGAUGAGCCUUCUUCCUCCUGUAGCUGUGUUCGUACGGGCAUCAUUCCUACUGGAGAUGUCGAUCCAGCGGGGGGAAAAGAGAGGAAGAGAGAAGCUGCUCAGAAUUUCACCCCCGGAUUCGGAACGUUUCGGAAUCGCCUCUACUGCAGAAUAUUUUCUGCAUGACUGACUCAGACCUUGGCCGAUGGCACGGGACUUUUGGCCAAUCAGAGAACCCCAUGGUCAGACAGACGGACAGCCCUAGCAGACCUGAGCCCUAGGACCAUGCCUCAGGACUACCUGGCAUGAUGACUCCUUGCUGUCCCCAGUCCGCCUGGCCGUGCUGCUGCUCCAGUUUCAACUGUUCUGCCUGUGAUUAUUAUUAUUUGACCAUGCUGGUCAUUUAUGAACAUUUGAACAUCUUGGCACAGCCAGAAGAGGACUGGCCACCCCUCAUAGCCUGGUUCCUCUCUUCCUUUCUUCCUAGGUUUUGGCCUUUCUAGGGAGUUUUUCCUAGACACCGUGCUUCUACACCUGCAUUGCUUGCUGUUUGGGGUUUUAGGCUGGGUUUCUGUGCAGUACUUUGAGAUAUCAGCUGAUGUACGAAGGGCUUUAUAAAUACAUUUGAUUUGGACUUAACAUCUGUCCUGUCCAAAAAUAAAUCGAGAAAUUACAAUAGUGGAUCCAAACUCUCAUCUCCUUUUAAAAAAAAUGAAAACAAGUUGUCCUGACCUGGUUGACUGGGACUAAGGUACUGGAGUACCAGUGUAGGCCGCCGGGUCUGUGAUGGUCCUUUGGGGUGAGGUAGUAGGUUGUAUAGUUUUAGGGUCAUACCCUUCCUGUCAGAUAACUAUACAACUUACUGUCUUUCCUGAAGUGGCUGUAAUAUCAUCCAUCAUCUCUGCAGCGCGCCCGCCACCCGGACCUCGAUGGGAAUAUGUACUAUGAACCAAUUCAAGAUGAUAACAUGCUUGUAAUGUCAUUCAUAUGGCAUCUAUGCAUCAUUCGGUUCUGUUUUGGUAUGGCUCUUUGUUCAUUUCAAUACUUUUGUUUGUAUGAUGUAUUUAUUAUUUUGCCAUGAAAGGGAUCUGCCUCUCUGAUGUUCGCACGGGGUGAGGUAGUAGGUUGUGUGGUUUCAGGGUAGUGAUUUUGCCCCAUCAGGAGAUAACUAUACAACUUACUGCCUUCCCUGAAGGGCAGCAACACUACACCAGACAACUGCAGAGGGUGCUGUUGGCACCACGUGAUAAUCUAGCAUUGGAACGAGGUCAUCUAGGUUUUGAUCAGCUACAGAGGUGACUGCAGCGUUUCAGGUAAAGUCUCCUGACAAUCUAGUAUUACGAUGUAGCUACCAUGUUAUUUGAUCACUUUGAAAUAGUAUUUAUUCAAAUAAGCAAUAAAAAAGUAUUAUUUUAUAAAUGUCAACUGUCUGUACUUCGUCUUUCAUUUUGCUCUGUUUGGAUUUAAGAAUCAUAUGAAACUCUUCAGCAGAUGAUAGACAGGACUCUAGCUCCCUAGUCCUAGCCAACAACGCAGAGAGAUAGAGAGAAGACGGAGUGUGUUUGCCAGUCAGUAUCGGGCCAAUAUGGGUUUCAGACGUGCCUUACUGUCUAGGACUGCAGUCUGUCUGCUGUAUCUCAUAGCAAGGACAGAUAGAUUUAUUGCCCUGGCUGGUCCAGGCCUGGUUCAGGUUCACACUGGGACCUUUACCUUAGUGCCUGGCCUUGAGCAGCUCACAGGCAGAUAGCUGUAACUCUUUCUUUGGUCUCAUGGGUGGAAUGUUAUUAAUCUAUUUCAUUAUUAAUAAAGAUUAUACCUUUUUUAAACAUCUAAAAGCUGGUGUUUCUAUGUCAAAUAGUUUUGUUCCAUUUCAGUCUUGUGUGAUAUAUAUGUAUAGGGAUGCGAACUCAAAAUGAAAUAAAUAUCAAGUCUAUGUCUGACAUGGUAUAGGUGCCUUAUUUUACUAAGCUCAUAACCACGUGUGUCUGGUGUUUCAAAGUAGAUUUGUUGAAGACUACUACGAGUCACUGUGACCCUGAUUUAGCCCAGUGCAGUAAAAAGUUUUGAACUGGGUGCCCGCUUCAGCAAAGCUCAUCACAGCUCCUUGAUACAGUAUCUGAAAAAAAGCAUACGAGUUAAGUAUAAUUUACCUCAACAAAUAGGACAAUGUAACUGCACUCAAUACAGAUUUUUAAAAUCUCUCACGCCAAGAAUUUGGCCCUGGGUACAUGUAAAUCAGCCACAUUUUCCAUUUAUAUUGAUUAUUAAUACCCGUGUAUACAGCACUCCGUCUUCAACUGGUAUGCGUGUGUAGUUUCUCAGACCCUCAGUGCAGCUUAUAUUAGUAUGGAUCCUGCGCCUCUUACCAGUUCUCUGACCGGCCACCAUAUUGAAUUGAUGUGAGUCUUGGCCCUGGUGACAAAGGAGGGUGAGCUGAAUACUAAGACACAUGACACAAUGGCUCUGUUCACUCUGUCUCAGGGAGACACUCACCAGCCUGUUCCACCUAGCAUCUAGACUACAUUUUUAAUUUCAAGUGGUGACUGCCUGUGGGGUGAGGUCAUAUCAAUCAUACAGUGACUGUGUCUUCAUUUGCAUCCUUUUCAAGGCAUUCACUUAAAUGAGUGUCCUCUAGACACCUUCAUCUGAAAUAUUACCAUCCCCUAUUAUGAACACACUAUUAGGUAGUCACAUAAUGUGCAUGAUUUGGAUGAGUUGUAUUCCACUUUAAUACUUGAAACACAAUUUACUGGUAUGAAGAUCUACUCCACUUUAGUGAAAUGACUGCUUCGAAUUCAUAAAGGUGAUUAGAUCGCCAUCUAGUGCCUGCUUGUGCACAAGACCAGAGCCACUUAACAAUCAAGCAAUAACAUAUCUACACUGCUGCUGUCCCUAGCUGCUAAGAAGCGAUGUUCUCAGAACUCUCUAUUUUGCAGUUAAAUACAACACGUUUGACACAUUUCAGUUGAUUGAAUGUUGAUGCACUUUGUGCAUUUCAGCAGCAGGUGGGGGUAGAGGGCCAUUUCACUCUGCAGAGCCUUAAAAAAAUCCAUUUGGUGCAAUUUUCACAGGUAUGUGGUACAUUUUGUUGUACAACUGUUAGUACAAAACUCUAAACAGAUCAUCAAAAAGGCAGUUGUUUUAAAACUCUAAGCACCUUUUCAAUUGACUAAGUAGGACACACAAAAUCACAGUCGCUUUUUCUCCAAGUGUAAUCAUUUCGAAAUACAUGUUUCACAUUGCAAUACACAUUCAUAUCAAGUCAUUUCCUUUCACAGUUCAAUGCUCGCACUACUUUUUGAUAUCAUUUUAUUUUCAUUUGAUUGCUUGCUGUUUGGGGUUUUAGGCUGGGUUUCUGUACAGCACUUUGAGAUAUCAGCUGAUGUACGAAGGGCUAUAUAAAUAAAUUUGAUUUGAUUUGAUCCCUUUGAUUUGUCCCUGUAGGUAUGGGAACCCUUACGUUCCAUUUAGAACCCUCUCAUGAAGAACCCUCUGGUUCUAGGUAGAACCAAUGACAGGUUCUACAGUUAUAGGAUGCUUUAGAUGUGCUUAUGGCACACACUGUAAAAAAAUGUAAAAAACGGUGAUUUACCUGCUACUGAGUUGCAGUAAAAAUACAGUUUGUUUACAGUUGAAUAAAGGCGUUAUUGUUGUAAAA
ensembl:lncRNA